rnacentral:rRNA from 1 species
UGCUGGAGGUAUCAGAAGUGCGAAUGCUGACAUAAGUAACGAUAAAGCGGGUGAAAAGCCCGCUCGCCGGAAGACCAAGGGUUCCUGUCCAACGUUAAUCGGGGCAGGGUGAGUCGACCCCUAAGGCGAGGCCGAAAGGCGUAGUCGAUGGGAAACGGGUUAAUAUUCCCGUACUUGGUGUUACUGCGAAGGGGGGACGGAGAAGGCUAUGUUGGCCGGGCGACGGUUGUCCCGGUUUAAGCGUGUAGGUGUGUGUUCCAGGUAAAUCCGGUUCACUUUAACACUGAGGCGUGANGACGAGGCACUACGGUGCUGAAGCAACAAAUGCCCUGCUUCCAGGAAAAGCCUCUAAGCAUCAGGUAACANGAAAUCGUACCCCAAACCGACACAGGUGGUCAGGUAGAGAAUACCAAGGCGCUUGAGAGAACUCGGGUGAAGGAACUAGGCAAAAUGGUGCCGUAACUUCGGGAGAAGGCACGCUGACACGUAGGUGAAGUGAUUUACUCAUGGAGCUGAAGUCAGUCGAAGAUACCAGCUGGCUGCAACUGUUUAUUAAAAACACAGCACUGUGCAAACACGAAAGUGGACGUAUACGGUGUGACGCCUGCCCGGUGCCGGAAGGUUAAUUGAUGGGGUCAGCGNAAGCGAAGCUCCUGAUCGAAGCCCCGGUAAACGGCGGCCGUAACUAUAACGGUCCUAAGGUAGCGAAAUUCCUUGUCGGGUAAGUUCCGACCUGCACGAAUGGCGUAAUGAUGGCCAGGCUGUCUCCACCCGAGACUCAGUGAAAUUGAACUCGCUGUGAAGAUGCAGUGUACCCGCGGCAAGACGGAAAGACCCCGUGAACCUUUACUAUAGCUUGACACUGAACAUUGAGCCUUGAUGUGUAGGAUAGGUGGGAGGCUUUGAAGUGUGGACGCCAGUCUGCAUGGAGCCGACCUUGAAAUACCACCCUUUAAUGUUUGAUGUUCUAACGUGGACCCGUAAUCCGGGUUGCGGACAGUGUCUGGUGGGUAGUUUGACUGGGGCGGUCUCCUCCUAAAGAGUAACGGAGGAGCACGAAGGUUGGCUAAUCCUGGUCGGACAUCAGGAGGUUAGUGCAAUGGCAUAAGCCAGCUUGACUGCGAGCGUGACGGCGCGAGCAGGUGCGAAAGCAGGUCAUAGUGAUCCGGUGGUUCUGAAUGGAAGGGCCAUCGCUCAACGGAUAAAAGGUACUCCGGGGAUAACAGGCUGAUACCGCCCAAGAGUUCAUAUCGACGGCGGUGUUUGGCACCUCGAUGUCGGCUCAUCACAUCCUGGGGCUGAAGUAGGUCCCAAGGGUAUGGCUGUUCGCCAUUUAAAGUGGUACGCGAGCUGGGUUUAGAACGUCGUGAGACAGUUCGGUCCCUAUCUGCCGUGGGCGCUGGAGAACUGAGGGGGGCUGCUCCUAGUACGAGAGGACCGGAGUGGACGCAUCACUGGUGUUCGGGUUGUCAUGCCAAUGGCACUGCCCGGUAGCUAAAUGCGGAAGAGAUAAGUGCUGAAAGCAUCUAAGCACGAAACUUGCCCCGAGAUGAGUUCUCCCUGAGACUUAGAGUCUCCUGAAGGAACGUUGAAGACGACGACGUUGAUAGGCCGGGUGUGUAAGCGCAGCGAUGCGUUGAGCUAACCGGUACUAAUGAACCGUGAGGCUUAACCUUACAACGCCGAAG